UCAGAAUGUAUCACUUCAAGAGGUGGAAACAUUUUCAAUUCUGAUAUUUUUGUACCUGAGCACAAGAAUGUAUAGCAGGAAGGAAGAUGACAGCACCUACCUUUCAUUCUUUUCUGUUCUGUAGAGAAUUCAACUCGGACAUAUUAUUGCUUGUACACUUGCUGUUCGGCUUGUAGUUUUGCUUGUUUCCUUUUUCUAGAGAUGUUAGUCUUG